AUCUGUCUUCACUCGGAGAAGUUUAGCUCUGUCAACUGGGUAAAUUCAGAUGAGUUCUUUGAAUGCCGCUUUUGGGCGUAUCUGGCUUCAACGAGAAGGAAAAAUGUUGAAUGUGUGAGUGGAUAAAAGGAUAGUACAAACAUCUCCAGUCUCCAGCUAUGAUGGCCGCACACAAUGUUUCAAUACUAAUUCUUGGAAAUUCGAAUAUUUUCUCCAAUUCAGCUGGAGGUUCUCAUCUCAUGUAUAGACUUGGAUCCAUAGCCGUGAUUGAACCAGGCACACUGAAUAGUGCCCAGUACACAUGAUGACUUGUAUUUUUGUCAAACUUUCAGAAUACGUGUGUAUAUGGUCCAGAAUUCUCAGUGUCUGACGACAGGCAUCCCCCCAAAUCGGUAUCUCGUUAGCAUUACUUCAGAAGGAAGAAAUCUCUUUUUUAUCACAUUUCUCUGCGGCAAAAAUUAUGUUUUUACUACUGCUAGUGAUUGUGUAUGGUUAUAUAGUAGCUCUCGGUUUCCUAUUCACAUCAAAGGCUAAAGAGCGAACGCGAGCCAAAAUCCAACAAUGGAGUCGUGCGAGCACCUUCGAAAACGUAUUGAAGGUAAAUGGUGCCUGGUCAC